UGAGGGAAUAUUUGGGUCAAUGGGGCGAGAGCCUGAACCAGCCAAGUCGCGUGAGGGAAGAAGGUCCUACGGAUUGUAAACCUCUUUUGCCGGGGAGCAAAGGGGCCAUUUAUGGCAGGAUGAGCGUACCCGGAGAAAAAGCAUCGGCUAACUCCGUGCCAGCAGCCGCGGUAAUACGGAGGAUGCGAGCGUUAUCCGGAUUUAUUGGGUUUAAAGGGUGCGUAGGCGGACCGUUAAGUCAGUGGUAAAAUUGAGAGGCUCAACCUCUUCCGGCCAUUGAAACUGGCGGACUUGAGUGAGCGAGAAGUAUGCGGAAUGCGUGGUGUAGCGGUGAAAUGCAUAGAUAUCACGCAGAACUCCGAUUGCGAAGGCAGCAUACCGGCGCUCAACUGACGCUGAGGCACGAAAGCGUGGGGAUCAAACAGGAUUAGAUACCCUGGUAGU
rnacentral:rRNA from 1 species